rnacentral:rRNA from 1 species
GGCCUCAAAUCAGACAAGAGUACCCGCUGAACUUAAGCAUAUCAAUAAGCGGAGGAAAAGAAACUAACAAGGAUUCCCCUAGUAACGGCGAGUGAAGCGGGAACAGCUCAAAUUUUAAAUCUGGCUGCUUUGUAGUCCGAGUUGUAAUUUGAAGGAGCCUUGCUGCUGGCAAAACGAUGGCACAAGUCCUCUGGAACGGGGCAUCGUAGAGGGUGAGAAUCCCGUCUCUGGUCAUCACGCGCUGGCAUACGGCAGGCAUCCGAAGAGUCGAGUUGUUUGGGAUUGCAGCUCCAAAUGGGUGGUAAACUCCAUCUAAGGCUAAAUAUUGGCGAGAGACCGAUAGCGAACAAGUACCGUGAGGGAAAGAUGAAAAGAACUUUGAAAAGAGAGUAAAACAGUACGUGAAAUUGUUGAAAGGGAAACGAUUGAAG